GCGAAAUUCCUUGUCGGGUAAGUUCCGACCCGCAUGAACGGCGCAACGACUGGAGCGCUGUCUCAACGGGGAGCUCGGCGAAGUUUCAUUACAAGUGCAGAUGCUUGUUACCCGCGACUAGACGGAAAGACCCCGUGAACCUUUACUGUAACCUGAUAUUGAAUCCGGAUAUACCCUGUGCAGGAUAGGUGGGAGGCUGUGAACCGGGAGCGUUAGCUUCCGGGGAGCCGUCCUUGAGAUACCACCCUUGGCCUAUCCAGGUUCUAACCCGCUUUGGUGAAUCCCAAAGGGGAACAGUGUCAGGCGGGCAGUUUGACUGGGGCGGUCGCCUCCUAAAAUGUAACGGAGGCGCCCUAAGGUUCCCUCAGCACGUUUGGAAAUCGUGCGUCGAGUGUAAGGGCAGAAGGGAGCCUGACUGCGAGAGGGACACUUCAAGCAGAGACGAAAGUCGGGCCUAGUGAUCCGGUGGUUCUGAGUGGAAGGGCCAUCGCUCAUCGGAUAAAAGGUACUCUGGGGAUAACAGGCUGGUCUCCUCCAAGAGUCCACAUCGACGAGGAGGAUCGGCACCUCGAUGUCGGCUCGUCGCAUCCUGGGGCUGAAGUAGGUCCCAAGGGUUGGGCUGUUCGCCCAUUAAAGCGGCACGCGAGCUGGGUUCAGAACGUCGUGAGACAGUUCGGUCCCUAUCCAUCGCAGGCGAAGGAAAUUUGAGGAGAUCUGCCCUUAGUACGAGAGGACCGGGGUGGACAGACCGCUGGUGUACCAGUUGUCCUGCCAAGGGCACAGCUGGGUAGCUACGUCUGGAUCGAAUAAACGCUGAAAGCAUCUAAGCGUGAAGUCGGCUUCAAGAUGAGAUUUCCCAUUCGCAAGAAGUAAGGCCCCUGAAAGAACAUCAGGUUGAUAGGCCGGAGGUGUAAUCGGAGCAAUCCGUUGAGCUGACCGGUACUAAUAGGCCGAGGACUUGACCUU
rnacentral:rRNA from 1 species